GAGAGUGGGUAGUCUUUUAUUACUUUUUCUUUUCUUUUUUAAUAUUAUUUUUUUGUUACAGUUGGAAGAAGAGAGUUUUCUUUUAUUUUCAUUUUUUUUAAUUAUUAUUCAAUUUAUUUCUAAAUUCUGAUUGGAUAAUAAAAUGUAUAUGGAUUGUGAACUUAGAUCCUUGAUUAAUUUGAAUCAACGAUUCAGAUUGAAUCAAAGAAUCACACCAAGAAACACACAUUAUUUAAAUAAAUCAAAAUGUAUAUAAUGUAUUUUUUAGAUGACUUAAUCGAUUUAAAACAAUUUUAAUCAAUUGAAUCAAAUAAAAUUCACAACUUUUCAAAUAACCUUGAUAAAAAUAAAAUAAUAACAUGAAAAAAUUUAUUUAUUCAAUCUGACUAUUUUGACGAAAGAAGAAAAUUAAAACGACUAAAAAUGAAUAAAAUUCGGGCAAAAAUUUGCUCGAAAAAUUAAAUCGGAUGCAUGAGAAUGAUCAGUGCAAAAUAUACUUAUUGAAAA
rnacentral:lncRNA from 1 species